GUUUGUGCACCAAGUAGGCAGCAGCUGAAGAAUCCCUGCGAUUACAUGGAAGCAGCACACACGCUGACACGCGCCAAACACGCACUCCUUCACCAGGACACGCGGACAACAACAUCGGAUACCUUCAAAUUAAAAAUGCACCAGGAAAGAAACGCCAAAACUCCACUGCCUGUGCCUCAUGCGUCAAUUCAAUUACAUCUUUGGCUUUCAACUGACUUUAUUAUUUUUCUAGUUCUGUAUUUAAAUAUUAAUACUGUAUUUGUCAUCUAAUUGACUGUUUUCACUGUCUUUGGGGUUGUCCCGAUAGUUAAAUGCAAAGUGUUUUGUUACAGCUCCAGCUGUUGUGAAAUGCUUUAUAUGAAUAAAGUUGUAUUGUAUAUAUACGGAUGUAUUGUAACUAACCUGAACACAAUAAGAUGUCCUAUAGUACUUAAAGUACUGUACAGGGAGUAAUUACUAAUGAUGGGCAAAUGAAGCUUCAAGGUGAUUCAUGAACCCAUUGUUGUGUUUACUUAGACCUCUAAAUGACAGUCUCUGUUCACCAAAGAGCUGAAAGACCACCGAUUUGGCUUUUUUUUUUUUUUUUUUUUUUUUUUAAACCCUCACUUUAAACCAACAUUGCUAUCUAGAGGAGUCAAAGAAUACAACAACUGGUUCAUGAAGCUUCAUUUUCCCAUUACAGUUGCUCAUCGUGUUCUGUUGUAGCUUCUCAGGUGAACACAAGUAGCAGCAACCGCCUCCCUUUGACAACAAAUGGAGCUCCAGCAUGCCACGGUUCUCAUCAUUUGUAGGUGGAGGUUGAACACCCCCCCCCCCCCCCCCCCCAUUCUUGGGAUACCCCAUGCUUGCUCAGUAGUCAGUGUAGAUCCUGUGGGGCUGGCAGCAGCUACAUCUGGCUACUGGGUCUCCAUUGGGCACCACAUCCUUUCCAAAAUGGUUCCAGGUGGUUCUACUUUCUGUGGCUGCUGGUCAAUAUAUGGAAGGUUUGAAAACACAACUGGAUGCCAAUGCUCAUGCAAUUGAGGGAAACAUUUGGGUAAUUUCUGGACCUGGCAUACAUUGUAGGACUCUGUGUGUCAGUCUACAGCUACAUUGUCUGCUGGGUUUCAGACAUUACUUUAAGAAAGCACAGUUGGCUCUGUUAGUAAAAUACAUGUCCUAAGCAGAGGCAGAUGAUUUGACAACUUUGUGUUUAUUGACUCAUAAAACAUUCUUCAAACAAUAAAACAAAUUUAAAUGUU